UACCAGCACCCCGAGUGGUCGGGACGUUUAUUGGGCCUAAAGCAUCCGUAGCCGGUUCUACAAGUCUUCCGUUAAAUCCACCUGCUUAACAGAUGGGCUGCGGAAGAUACUAUGGAGCUAGGAGGCGGGAGAGGCAAGCGGUACUCGAUGGGUAGGGGUAAAAUCCGUUGAUCCAUUGAAGACCACCAGUGGCGAAGGCGGCUUGCCAGACGCGCUCGACGGUGAGGGAUGAAAGCU
rnacentral:rRNA from 1 species